rnacentral:rRNA from 1 species
AGGGUUUGAUCCUGGCUCAGAACGAACGCUGGCGGCGUGGCUAAGACAUGCAAGUCGAACGGACUAUAUGACUGAGUAAUCAUGACUAUAGUUAGUGGCGAAAGGGUUAGUAAUGGAUAGGUAACGUACCCCGAUCUCUGGGAUAGCCAUCCGAAAGGAUGGGUAAUACCGGAUAAUAUCACAGACUGAUAGGUUUGUGAUCAAAGAUUCAUCGGACUGGGAGCGGCCUAUCUCCUAUCAGCUUGUUGGUAAGGUAACGGCUUACCAAGGCAAUGACGGGUAGCGGGACUGAGAGGUUGGCCCGCAACAUCGGGACUGAGACACUGCCCGGACCUCCACGGAGGGCUGCAGUAACGAAUAUUGCGCAAUGGGCGAAAGCCUGACGCAGCGACGCCGCGUGUGGGAUGAAGUCCCUCGGGAUGUAAACCACUGUCAGGGGUAAGAAAGUGCGUUUCGGCGCAUUGAUCUAACCCAGAGGAAGUCACGGCUAACUUCGUGCCAGCAGCCGCGGUAAGACGAAGGUGGCUAGCGUUGUUCGGUGUCACUGGGCUUAAAGAGUAUGUAGGCGGAAAGAUAAGCGUCUUGUGAAAUCCCUCAGCUUAACUGAGGAAUUGCUGGGCGAACUGUCUUUCUUGAGGCAAGUAGGGGUGCAUGGAACUCUUGGUGGAGCGGUGGAAUGCGUAGAUAUCAAGAGGAACGCCGAUGGUGAAGACAGUGCACUAGGCUUGUCCUGACGCUGAGAUACGAAAGCGUGGGGAGCAAACAGGAUUAGAUACCCUGGUAGUCCACGCCGUAAACGAUGCCUACUAGGCUGUGGGGGUUCUGACGCCUUCACGGCCGAAGCAAAAGUGUUAAGUAGGCCGCCUGGGGAGUACGGUCGCAAGGCUAAAACUCAAAGGAAUUGACGGGGGCUCACACAAGCGGUGGAGCAUGUGGAUUAAUUCGAAUUCAACGCGCAGAACCUUACCUAGGCUUGACAUGCUUGGAUGCCCAUCUGGAAACAGAGUAGGCUGCCCUUCGGGGUGAAACUUGCACAGGUGCUGCAUGGCUGUCGUCAGCUCGUGUCGUGAGAUGUUGGGUUAAGUCCUUAAACGAGCGAAACCCUUACCCUUAGUUACCAGCGGUUCGGCCGGGAACUCUAAGGGGACUGCCGGUGUUAAACCGGAGGAAGGUGGGGAUGACGUCAAGUCCUCAUGGCCUUUAUGUCUAGGGCUUCACACGUGCUACAAUGGCAACGACAGAGCGAUGCGAGACCGCGAGGUGGAGCUAAUCGCAAAAACGUUGUCCCAGUACGGAUUGCAGGCUGUCAACUCGCCUGCAUGAAGUUGGAAUCGCUAGUAAUCGCGUAUCAGCUAUGACGCGGUGAAUGUGUUCCUGAGCCUUGUACACACC